CUUGACCAAAGCAAGUUGGUGGGUUAAUUGCCUAGAAAAGAUUUUUCAUAUGUCUUACUCGCCCGUACCGUAAACCGACACAGGUGGGUGAGUGUAAAUGCACUAAGGCGCGCGAGAGAGACCUCUCUAAGGAACUCGGCACAUUAGCCUCGUAACUUCGGGAAAAGAGGUGCUCACUUCGGUGAGCCACAGUAAAUUGCGUUUAGCGACUGUUUAACAAAAACACAGCACUCUGCUAAGUCGUUAAGACGACGUAUAGGGUGUGACACGUGACCAAUGCGGAAAGAUUAAGGCAUUUUGUUAGCCGCAAGGCGAAGCUCGGUGCCAAAGUCCCCGUGAAUGUCGGCCGUAACUAUAACGGUCCUAAGGUAGCGAAAUUCCUUGUCGGGUAAGUUCCGACCGGCACGAAUCGUGUAACGACUGAACGACUGUCUCGGAGAGGAUCUCGGCGAAACUGUAACUGCGGUGAAGAUGCCGCAUGCCCGCAGUAGGACGGAAAGACCCUAUGCACCUUUACUGUAAGCUGGUAUUGUGUUCUGAUUAAUAAUGCGUAGCGUAGGUGGGAGGCUUUGAAGUGAGUGCUUCGGUGCUCAUGGAGCCGCAAUGUGAAACACCACUCUUUGCUAAUUAGGAUUCUAACCUCGAUUCCUGUCAACCAGGCGAGGGACAGUACUUGCGGGUCAGUUUGACUGGGGCGGUUUCCUCCCAAAGAGUAACGGAGGAGCGCGAAGCUUGGCUCAGCACGGUUGGCAACCGUGCGUCGAGCGUAUGGGUAUAAGCCAGGUUAACUGUGAGACCUACAAGUCGAGCAGAUGCGAAAGCAGGCCCAAAUGAUCCGAUGGUUUAAUGUGGAAUUGCCAUCGCUCAACGGACAAAAGGUACGCUAGGGAUAACAGGCUGAUCGGUUCCAAGAGUUCACAUCGACGAACCGGUUUGGCACCUCGAUGUCGGCUCAUCGCAUCCUGGGGCUGGAGAAGGUCCCAAGGGUCCGGCUGUUCGCCGGUUAAAGCGGUACGCGAGCUGGGUUCAGAACGUCGUGAGACAGUUCGGUCCUUAUCCACUGUGGGCGCAGGAAUCUUGAGGGGUUCAUUCUCUAGUACGAGAGGACCGAGAAUGACGCACUUCUGGUGUGGCAGUUGUUCCAUCAGGGGCAUCGCUGCGUAGCCAUGUGCGGAAGAGAUAAGCGCUGAAAGCAUCUAAGUGCCAAGCUCAUCCCAAGAUAUGGAUUCCCGGACGCAAGUCCCUAAAGACCCCCGGCAGACUACCGGGUUGAUAGGUCAGGCAUGUAAGCGUCGCGAGAUGUUUAGUGGACUGAUACUAAUUGGUCGUGCGGCUUGAUCGU
rnacentral:rRNA from 1 species